GUUGGAGCGGAAAUGGGGCCGCGCGGGGGACUAGGGCUGGCGCUCAGGGGGUCUCGGGCAGACCAGCUGAGGUUAGGCGCACACACGCGGGGACGCAAGAUGGCAGCUAGAGGGAGGCCGGAAGUGACGCAGCGCCACUUCCUCCAAAUGUCAGGAAACUCGCUUCCUCGCGAGCCCGGCGCCUCUCUGCGCACGCGCGGCCCCCCGCCACUGCCUGGGCUGCAGUUCGCCGAGGGACGGGCCGCGCGGCUCCGGACUGCGGGUCGGCGGGCAGCCGUGGGGAAGGCCUGGAGGGGUCAGGGAGCGCGGGGCUUUGCGGGGCUGGGGGUGAGGAGUCGGCCCUGUCCGCGGGCCGGACCCGCAGGUUCGUCGCCUCGGGGGAAAGGGCCGGAGCGCGUGCGCCCCAGCGAGCCUGGACCUGGACGUUCUGUCGGCACCUGGCGAAAACAGGCCGGCUCUGCUUUCCAGCGCACGAGAAGCUGA
rnacentral:lncRNA from 1 species